rnacentral:tmRNA from 1 species
GGGGGCGCACUGGUUUCGACGGGGUCGUUGAAGCUGGGAAAGCGGGUGGAGGAUCCUCGUUGGCCUCCUAAAAAAACGGGGAAAAACACAACUGCCAACAAAACGGCACUCGUAGCAGCUUAAUCGCUUCUACCGUCAGGCCAUCCGAUCUGCUGGAUGGAUCCCUGGCGUCAGAUAGCAGACCUUACAAGCCGGCAGGUUAAACUUGGGAACGUUGCGGCAUAAGCUUUGCCGUCGCACCGUAUUUAUGAAGCUACCGGACCGGACAGCCUGUCCCUGGGCAGUCCGGAAGGGGAAUACUCAAUCAGGGACUGCACCCGGAGAUGGUUCCAGCGGAUAGGGUUUCGGACAGGAGUUCGAUUCUCCUCGCCUCCACCA